AACAAAAUAAAAAACUUAAUAUUUCUCUUCAGAACUAUAUCAAAUGAUGAGCUGUAUAGUAAUUGUUUGCAUAUGCAGUCAUACUCAGAAGGGGUGGAUUUGGGUCAGCAGUGGAUGGGCCUCUUGGUGUAGAUUGCUUUGAUGUGGUUUUAUCAAAUGAAGUUCCGCUGGUGGUGCGGUUGGUUGAUGUACUAUGACGUGGUGUACUUGUACUUGUAGGAAGGCUGGUUGGUUUCAUAGCUGUACUUGAGGUUGGGUCAUGAGUUGAUGCACUUGUUUCCAGGAUACUUGAGGUUGUAGCAUGUUCAGUUGUGCUUGUUGGAAGAUAGGUUGAUGUGGUUCUUUCAUUUGUAAUCCCAGUUGUUGGAGAAUGUGUUGGUGUAACUGUUUUAGGCAUGCUGGUGGCAGUGCUGGUUGAUACAGCUGAUGCUGGAAGGGUGACUGGUGUAGUCGUUGUUGAUAUGGUUGUUGAAGGUGUGGUUGAUGUAGUUGCAGUUGUUGGAGACUCAACAAGUUCACCUGAACCAACAUCCCCUGAACCAACCUCCCCUUCAACAAUAGCAAAGAUAUUUGAAGUCGUUUUUGAUAGGGUUGUUGAAGGUGUGCUAGACACACUUGUCUCAAGUGUAGUUGCAAUUGUUGGAGAACUAGUUGAAUGGUCAGAAGUACUUACAGUUGUUGAAGGGGGGGUUGUUGUAAGUUCAGUUGUAUGUGCUGGAGAGGUUACUGGUGUAGUCAUUUUUGAUGUGGUUGUUGAAGGUGUGGUUGAAGUAGUUGACUCAGGUGUACUUGUAGGAGGGCUGGUUGGUUUCAUAGCUGUACUCAAGGUUGGGUCAUAAGUUGAUGUACUUGUUUCAAGGAUACUUGAGGUUGUAGCAUGUUCAGUUGUGCUUGUUGGAAGAUAGGUUGAUGUGGUUCUUUCAUUUGUAAUCCCAGUUGUUGGAGAAUGUGUUGGUGUAACUGUUUUAGGCAUGCUGGUGUAGAUUGGUGUAGAUUGCUCUGAUGUGGUUUGAUCAAAUGAAGUUACGCUGGUGGUGGGGUUGGUUGAUGUACUAUGAUGUGGUGUACUUGAACUUGUAGGAGGGCUGGUUGGUGUCAUAGCUGUACUCAAGGUUGGGUCAUGAGUUGAUGCACUUGUUUCAAGGAUACUUGAGGGUGUAGCAUGUUCAGUUGUGCUUGUUGGAAGAUAGGUUGAUGUGGUUCUUUCAUUUGUAAUCCCAGUUGUUGGAGAAUUUGUUGGUGUAACUGUUUUAGGCAUGCUGGUGGCAGUGCUGGUUGAUGCAGCUGAUGCUGGAAGGGUGACUGGUGUAGUCGUUUUUGAUGUGGCUGUUGAACGUGUGGUUGAAGUAGUUAACUCAGGUGUACUUGCAGUUGUUGGAGACUCAACAAGUUCACCUGAAUCAACCUCCCCUGAACCAACCUCCCCUUCAACAAUAGCAAAGAUAUUUGAAGUCGUAGAAGUUAUAGAGGUUGUAGAAGUUAUAGAGGUUGACUGUGCGAAUGCUGUGAACAAAAAGUAGUUUGUGAGAUAAAGAUGUG
rnacentral:lncRNA from 1 species